GCAAGUCGAGGGGUAACAUUGGUGCUUGCACUAGAUGACGACCGGCGCACGGGUGCGUAACGCGUAUAGAACCUACCUUUUACAGGGGGAUAGCCUUUAGAAAUGAAGAUUAAUACCCCAUAGUAUUGCGAGAUGGCAUCAUUUUGUAAUUAAAGAUUUAUCGGUAAAAGAUGGCUAUGCGUCCUAUUAGUUAGUUGGUAAGGUAACGGCUUACCAAGACAUCGAUAGGUAGGGGUCCUGAGAGGGAGAUC
rnacentral:rRNA from 1 species